rnacentral:tRNA from 1 species
GCUUCUAUCGUCUAGUUGGUCAGGACUAUAUUUUUUCGUAAUAGCAACGUAAGUUCGACUCUUACUAGAAGUA